AGUGCAAUUGCUGGGUCAUAUGGUACCUCUGUUAUAAUUUUUGAAGAACUGCCAAACUCUUCUCCAAAGUGGCUGUACCAUUUUACAUUCCCACGAGCAAU
rnacentral:pre_miRNA from 1 species